CAGCCGCCGCGGGAAUACGAAGGGGGCUAGCGUUGCUCGGAAUGACUGGGCGUAAAGGGCGCGUAGGCGGCGAUCAAAGUCAGGCGUGAAAUUCCUGGGCUCAACCUGGGGGCUGCGCUUGAUACUUGGUUGCUUGAGUGGGGAAGAGGGUCGUGGAAUUCCCAGUGUAGAGGUGAAAUUCGUAGAUAUCGGGAGGAACAUCAGUGGCGAAGGCGGCCAUCUGGGACAACACUGACGCUGAGGCACGAAAGCGUGGGGAGCAAACAGGAUUAGAUACCCCGGUAGUCCCUGUCUCUUAUAC
rnacentral:rRNA from 1 species